rnacentral:rRNA from 1 species
AUACGGAGGGUGCAAGCGUUAAUCGGAAUUACUGGGCGUAAAGCGCGCGUAGGCGGUUUAGUAAGUCGGAUGUGAAAGCCCUGGGCUCAACCUGGGAAUUGCAUUCGAUACUGCUUGACUAGAGUAUGGUAGAGGGAAGUGGAAUUUCCGGUGUAGCGGUGAAAUGCGUAGAUAUCGGAAGGAACACCAGUGGCGAAGGCGACUUCCUGGGCCAAUACUGACGCUGAGGUGCGAAAGCGUGGGGAGCAAACAGGAUUAGAUACCCCGGUAGUCC